UACAGAGGGGGCAAGCGUUGUUUGGAAUUACUGGGCGUAAAGGGCGCGUAGGCGGCCUUCUAAGUCGAACGUGAAAUCCCCGGGCUCAACCCGGGAACUGCGUCCGAUACUGGAGGGCUUGAAUCCGGGAGAGGGAUGUGGAAUUCCAGGUGUAGCGGUGAAAUGCGUAGAUAUCUGGAGGAACACCGGUGGCGAAGGCGACAUCCUGGACCGGUAUUGACGCUGAGGCGCGAAAGCCAGGGGAGCAAACGGG
rnacentral:rRNA from 1 species